CCACAAACGUUUACUGAGCGCCUUCAACUCGCCAGGCACUAACUAGACUAGCGCAGGGAAACGGGGAUAAGUACUGAUGAGGGUCCCAGCCCUCAGCGAUCGGAUUUCAGAGGGGGAGAUAAAGGAUUGCCCAGAAGAGUGGUCUCGCUCUGUGGCCCGUGGUGCAGGACAGUGGCAUGACCAUGGCUCACUGCAACCUCGACCUCCCCAGCUCAAGUGACCCUCCACCUCAGCCUCCUGAGUAGCUGGGGCUACAGGCGCAUGCCACCAUGCCUAGCUUCAUAUGUGCUUGCUUCCAUCCUCUGCCCCUAAUGGUGCCACGUACUCUGUUCUCAAUAAGCACCCUGGCCCAUGGGUCUUUAGACUCAGCCUUGAUGAGGUAGACCUCAUCUCUACCAAAAAAAAAAAAAAAAAAUUAACAAAAAUUAGCCAAGUGGCUGGGCAUGGUGGCUCACACCUGUAAUCCCAGAGUUUUGGAAGGCCAAGGCAGAUGGAUCACUUGAGGUCAGGAGUUCAAGACUAGCCUGGCCAACAUGGUGAAACCCUGUCUCUACUAAAAACACAAAAAUUAGCUGGACGUGCACGCCUGUAGUGCCGGCUACUUGGGAGGUUAAGGCAGGAGAAUCGCUUGAACCCGAGAGGCAGAGGUUGCAGUGAGCUGAGAUUGUGUCACUGCACUCCAGCCUGGGUGACAGAGCAAGACUUCGUCUCAAAAAAAAUUAGCCAGUUGUGGUGAUGCGCACCUGUAGUCCCGGCUACUUGGGAGGAUGAGGCAGGAGGAUUGCUUGAGCCUGGGAGGUCAAAGCUGCAGUGAGCCACGAUCUCUUCACUGGAUUCCAGCCAGGAUGGCAAAGUGAGACUGUGUAUCAAAAAAACAAAAAAACAGCCGGGCGCAGUGGCUCAUGCCUGUAAUCCCAGCACUUUGGGAGGCCGAGGCAGGCAGAUCACGUGAGGUCGGGAGUUCGAGACCAGCCUGCCCAACAUGGAGAAACCUCGUCUCUACUAAAAAUACAAAAUUAGCCAGGCGUGGUGGCACAUGCCUGUAAUCCCAGCUACUAGGGAGGCUGAGGCAGGAUAAUCGCUUGAACUCAGGAGGCAGAGGUUGUGGUGAGCCAAGAUCGUGCCAUUGCACUCCAGCCUGGGCAACAAGAGUGAAAUUCCGUCUCAAAAAAAAAAAAAAAAAAAACAAA